rnacentral:tRNA from 1 species
GGCCCCUUCGUCUAGUGGUUAGGACAUCAGGUUUUCGACCUGACAACAGGAGUUCGAUUCUCCUAGGGGUCA